rfam:Canis lupus familiaris chromosome 3, whole genome shotgun sequence.
AGGAGGAACAACCCCAGUGGCGGCGGCCAGCUCUGGAGCCCUGGAGUCAGCUCCCACAGUAGCUACAGAGCUCUCAGUCUGCAGGGCCUGGAGGCUCCCGGGCAGG